AUACUUACCUGGGAGGGAAGAGAUACCAUGAUCAUGAAGGUGGUUUUCCCAGGGCAAGACUUAUCCAUUGCACUCUGGAUGUGCUGACCCCUGUGAUUUCCCCAAAUGUGGGAAACUCGACUGCAUAAUUUGUGGUAGUGGGGGAUUGCAUUAACGCUCUCUCCUG
ensembl:snRNA U1 U1 spliceosomal RNA